UCCCUGGUGGCUCAGACAGUAAAGAAUCUGCCUGCAAUGCAGGAGACCCAGGUUUGAUCCCUCGUUGGGGAA
rnacentral:tRNA from 1 species